rnacentral:rRNA from 1 species
GCGAAAACUUUACAAUGCUGGCAACAGCGAUAAGGGAACCUCGAGUGCCAGGUUACAAAUCUGGCUGUCGAGAUGCCUAAAAAGCAUUUCAUAGCAAGGGCCGGGCAAGACCGGUGCCAGCCGCCGCGGUAACACCGGCGGCUCGAGUGGUAACCGUUAUUAUUGGGUCUAAAGGGUCUGUAGCCGGCCGGAUAAGUCUCUUGAGAAAUCUGGCAGCUUAACUGUCAGGCUUUCAGGAGAUACUGUCUGGCUCGAGGCCGGGAGAGGUGAGAGGUACUUCAGGGGUAGGGGUGAAAUCUUGUAAUCCUUGAGGGACCACCGGUGGCGAAGGCGUCUCACCAGAACGGACCUGACGGCAAGGGACGAAAGCUAGGGGCACGAACC